UACGUAGGUGACAAGCGUUGUCCGGAUUUAUUGGGCGUAAAGAGCUCGUAGGCGGUCUGUCGCGUCGGCUGUGAAAACUCAGGGCUCAACCCUGAGCCUGCAGUCGAUACGGGCAGACUAGAGUUCGGUAGGGGAGACUGGAAUUCCUGGUGUAGCGGUGAAAUGCGCAGAUAUCAGGAGGAACACCGGUGGCGAAGGCGGGUCUCUGGGCCGAAACUGACGCUGAGGAGCGAAAGCGUGGGGAGCGAACAGG
rnacentral:rRNA from 1 species